rnacentral:rRNA from 1 species
AACGGCCAUACCAUGCUGAAUAUACCGGUUCUCGUUAGAUCACCGAAGUUAAGCAUCAUUGGGCGCGGUCAGUACUUGGAUGGGUGACCACCUGGGAACACCGCGUGCCGUUG